rfam:Ciona savignyi cont_29459, whole genome shotgun sequence.
GUCGUCGUGGCCGAGUGGUUAAGGCGACAGACUAGAAAUCUGUUGGGCUCUGCCCGCACAGGUUCGAAUCCUGUCGGCGAAG